UCACUAAGUCGAGCUCCUACAGUCUUCCACGGGUCCAGCUUUACUAGACGCUGCUUUUCAUUAAAGGGAAUCAACGAUUCUUUUGGGUUACCGUUAAUUUUGUGGGCUUUUGGCAUAGCUGAAUAAACCCAGCCCUAAUUAUCUUCUAACAUGUCCAAUGGAAAACUAGGGUUCAUCUCCGCCAUUGGAGAGAUCAAGUUGCUGAGUUCGAGUUGAUGAAUCUGUUCGUAGGUUUCGAUCACGUCGUCUGAUCUUAUUUCUCAUCAACCGAAACGCUCUCAGUUGCAGAUUCGUCGCCUUAAACCUCUUCUUAACUCCAUUAACCAUAUCUAGCCUUGAAUGCGAAUUUCCCUUCUGUAAGGCGGUGUCACUGAGCGUAUAAAAAGUUGCUGCGGUUAUGGGAGGCGAGAGACGUCAGGCGCAGUGGGGAUUUCUUCUCGCUGACAAAGGGAAACCGGAACUGUUACGGGCUACCUUCAACCGAUUCUUCUGGAUUUCUUCUUAGAUCGUUAUGGGCGUCGAUAUGCUUCUCCUUGAUGCCAAGGAUAUUACUGAAGAAAACAAAUCUUAUCCAUGCCCAACGGAGUGGUUAUUCGGUGUUGAUAUUGUAAAGAAAUAGGAAGAGUCUUCACGGUUUCACAGCAAGCCCAAUAUACUUUGUUUUUGGAUCAUCUGGAGAUUCCUUUGAGAAGAAAAGGAAUAGAGUUCUUUUGGUUCGAUGGGAAAUUGGAUCAGAAGUCUGAAGAGAAGGUGCUGAAGGAUUCAAUGAAACCAUCACAAAACAGUUCUGCUUCUGUCUCUGAAACCUGGAGUCGAACUAAAUCUAACCGCAUCUUCACACGUCUUCUUAACGUUACCAUUUCUCUUCAACCUUACGUUAAAAUUCUUCUUGAUUAUGGAGAGAUGAUGGCUGCUCUGUUUUUUGAAAUGCUUAUGAUCCAUCAGCGGAAGAGCAAUCGAUCAUAUGAGAAUUAAUCGCGUAGACAUAGCAGCAACACUGUUUAGAGUUCCGUGAGUGAGAAAACGAUCAAAAAAAAAAAAUAGUUAAUCACAACUAACUAAAUAUUAAUAUCACAACAUCAAACAUUUUAAAUCAGAAGAAGUGAUAAAAAUGAAUAAUUUCGAAAAUAAUAUUUCAUACCAAA